rnacentral:lncRNA from 1 species
CUGAUCGGAGGCCCCGCGCUUCACUUUCUUCCCGUUUUUUCCCCACCGGGGAGGCAAAACGGAAACCCGUAAGAGACACAAACCACCCACCCCACGCAAGGCCUUCCCUGAGGCGUCUAACAGCCGCGUGGGGCCGGCCCCGCUCCUCGCUCCCCACGGCACCGCCGCCCGCCGAGGGCAGGGCAACACGACCGCCCCGGUGCAACGGUCGCCACCACCAACCCCUCCCCACGUCGUUUAGUAGCUGCGUGAUGACGCAGCCAGCGGGAGUCCCGCGGCCCCCGCUCCUCCCCGCGCGAGCGGCUGCUCCCGCCCCCCGCCGCUCCCCGGCACGGCGGUGAGGGAGGGAGGAAAAGGGGGGGAAGGAGGCGGGGCGGCUGUGCCGUGGCAGCGGGUAAAGCGCGGCUCGGCAACACGCCGCCGUGCUGCCUGCUCCGGUGCCGUGCAUGGAGAGGGCGCGGGUGCUGAGGGGAAGCCGCCAGCUCGCGCUGCUUCGCCGAGCUCCCGCGGGAUACAUUAUGUUCUACCAUUGCCUGUGUGCCUGCUUUAUCUGACCUCCUGUGGAUACCAACAGCAAG